rnacentral:rRNA from 1 species
UACGUAGGGUGCAAGCGUUGUCCGGAAUUAUUGGGCGUAAAGAGCGUGUAGGCGGCCAGGUAGGUCCGUUGUGAAAACUCGAGGCUCAACCUCGAGACGCCGAUGGAAACCAUCUGGCUAGAGUCCGGAAGAGGAGAGUGGAAUUCCCGGUGUAGCGGUGAAAUGCGCAGAUAUCGGGAAGAACACCCGUGGCUAAGGCGGCUCUCUAGUACGGUACUGACGCUGAGACGCGAAAGCGUGGGGAGCGAACAGG